rnacentral:rRNA from 1 species
GAUGAACGCUGGCGGCGUGCCUAAUACAUGCAAGUCGAGCGAACAGAUGAGGAGCUUGCUCCUCUGACGUUAGCGGCGGACGGGUGAGUAACACGUGGAUAACCUACCUAUAAGACUGGGAUAACUUCGGGAAACCGGAGCUAAUACCGGAUAAUAUAUUGAACCGCAUGGUUCAAUAGUGAAAGACGGUUUUGCUGUCACUUAUAGAUGGAUCCGCGCCGCAUUAGCUAGUUGGUAAGGUAACGGCUUACCAAGGCAACGAUGCGUAGCCGACCUGAGAGGGUGAUCGGCCACACUGGAACUGAGACACGGUCCAGACUCCUACGGGAGGCAGCAGUAGGGAAUCUUCCGCAGUGGGCGAAAGCUUGACGGAGCAACGCCGCGUGAGUGAUGAAGGUCUUCGGAUCGUAAAACUCUGUUAUUAGGGAAGAACAAAUGUGUAAGUAACUAUGCACGUCUGGACGGUACCUAAUCAGAAAGCCACGGCUAACUACGU